CAGGAGCACUGCAAGGGAAUGAUUGCGC
rnacentral:piRNA from 1 species